rnacentral:rRNA from 1 species
UGGUUAAGUUAGAAAGGGCGCACGGUGGAUGCCUUGGCACUAGGAGCCGAAGAAGGACGGGACUAACACCGAUAUGCUUUGGGGAGCUGUACGUAAGCGUUGAUCCAGAGAUUUCCGAAUGGGGGAACCCACUAUCUUUAGUCGGAUAGUAUCCUUACGUGAAUACAUAGCGUAAGGAAGGCAGACCCAGGGAACUGAAACAUCUAAGUACCUGGAGGAAGAGAAAGAAAAAUCGAUUUCCUGAGUAGCGGCGAGCGAAACGGAAAGAGCCCAAACCAAGAAGCUUGCUUCUUGGGGUUGUAGGACACUCUAUACGGAGUUACAAAGGAAUGUGGUAAACGAAGUGGUCUGGAAAGGCCCGCCAAAGAAGGUAACAGCCCUGUAAUUGAAAGCAUAUUCCCUCCAGAGUGGAUCCUGAGUACGGCGGAACACGUGAAAUUCCGUCGGAAUCCGGGAGGACCAUCUCCCAAGGCUAAAUACUCCCUAGUGACCGAUAGUGAACCAGUACCGUGAGGGAAAGGUGAAAAGCACCCCGGAAGGGGAGUGAAACAGUUCCUGAAACCGUGUGCCUACAAGUAGUUAGAGCCCGUUAAUGGGUGAUAGCGUGCCUUUUGUAGAAUGAACCGGCGAGUUACGAUUUGUUGCAAGGUUAAGCGGAAAAAGCGGAGCCGUAGCGAAAGCGAGUCUGAAUAGGGCGCAUGAGUAACAGGUCGUAGACCCGAAACCAGGUGAUCUACCCAUGUCCAGGAUGAAGGUGAGGUAAUACUCACUGGAGGUCCGAACCCACGCACGUUGAAAAGUGCGGGGAUGAGGUGUGGGUAGCGGAGAAAUUCCAAUCGAACCUGGAGAUAGCUGGUUCUCUCCGAAAUAGCUUUAGGGCUAGCCUCGAGGUAAAGAGUCGUGGAGGUAGAGCACUGUUUGGACUAGGGGCCCUUCUCGGGUUACCGAAUUCAGAUAAACUCCGAAUGCCAUGUACUUAUACUCGGGAGUCAGACUGCGAGUGAUAAGAUCCGUAGUCGAAAGGGAAACAGCCCAGACCACCAGUUAAGGUCCCAAAAUAUAUGUUAAGUGGAAAAGGAUGUGGGGUUGCAUAGACAACCAGGAUGUUGGCUUAGAAGCAGCCACCAUUGAAAGAGUGCGUAAUAGCUCACUGGUCGAGUGACCCCGCGCCGAAAAUGUACCGGGGCUAAACAUAUUACCGAAACUGUGGAUGAACCUCUU